rnacentral:rRNA from 1 species
UACAGAGGUGGCAAGCGUUGUUCGGAAUUACUGGGCGUAAAGGGCGCGUAGGCGGUCUUUUAAGUCUUGUGUGAAAUCCCUCGGCUCAACUGAGGAACUGCACGGGAUACUGGAAGACUUGAGUUCGGGAGAGGGAAGCGGAAUUCCGGGUGUAGCGGUGAAAUGCGUAGAUAUCGGGAGGAACACCUGUGGCGAAAGCGGCUCACUGGACCACAACUGACGCUGAUGCACGAAAGCUAGGGGAGCAAACAGG